UAAUACGGAGGGUGCAAGCGUUAAUCGGAAUUACUGGGCGUAAAGGGUGCGUAGGUGGUUAGUUAAGUUAUCUGUAAAAUCCCCGGGCUUAACCUGGGCAGGUCAGAUAAGACUGAUUAACUCGAGUAUGGGAGAGGGUAGUGGAAUUUCCGGUGUAGCGGUGAAAUGCGUAGAGAUCGGAAGGAACACCAGUGGCGAAGGCGGCUACCUGGCCUAAUACUGACACUGAGGCACGAAAGCGUGGGGAGCAAACAGG
rnacentral:rRNA from 1 species